AAUGAACGCUGGCGGCAUGCCUUACACAUGCAAGUCGAACGGCAGCAUGACCUAGCUUGCUAGGUUGAUGGCGAGUGGCGAACGGGUGAGUAAUGCAUCGGAACGUGCCUUUUAGUGGGGGAUAACGUAGCGAAAGUUACGCUAAUACCGCAUAUUCUCUGAGGAGGAAAGCAGGGGGCCUUCGGGCCUUGCGCUAGAAGAGCGGCCGAUGUCGGAUUAGCUAGUUGGUGAGGUAAAGGCUCACCAAGGCAACGAUCCGUAGCGGGUCUGAGAGGAUGAUCCGCCACACUGGGACUGAGACACGGCCCAGACUCCUACGGGAGGCAGCAGGGGGGAAUUUGGGAAAAGGGGCGCAAGCCUGAUCCAGCCAUGCCGCGGGAGGAAAGAAGGCCUUCGGGUUGUAAAGCUCUUUCGGCUGGGAAGAAAUCGCACUCUCUAAAACAGGGUGGGGAUGACGGUACCAACAAAAGAAGCACCGGCUAACUACGU
rnacentral:rRNA from 1 species